rnacentral:rRNA from 1 species
GACGAACCGUGCGAACGUUGUUCGGAUUCACUGGGCUUAAAGGGCUCGUAGGCGGCCAACUAAGUCAGACGUGAAAUCCCUCAGCUUAACUGGGGAACUGCGUCUGAUACUGGAUGGCUUGGAUUCGGGAGAGGAAUGCGGAAUUCCAGGUGUAGCGGUGAAAUGCGUAGAUAUCGGGAGGAACAACAGAGGCGAAGGCGAUCUUCUGGACUGUAACUGACGCUGAGGUGCGAAAGCGUGGGUAGCAAACAGG